CAACAAAUGAUUUACCAAUUAAGUACAGAUGAAAAUUCAACUUUCAAAAGAUAUUCAAUGAAGCACAAAGUUUGAUACCAAAAAUCUGCUUAAAUUGAUACCAAUUAGACAUUAAAAGCAUACUAAAAGUCCUUUGCCAAAUUUACAUAGAGUAACCUUUAUUGAUUUAGUUUUUAAGAACAUUCAUUUUUUUAUUUAUGUAAGCCUCUUGAGAUCUAUUCAUGCUUUUCAGAUAUCGACAACAAUGAUCAUGAAUCAAACAUAAAACAUUACGUUCCA
rnacentral:lncRNA from 1 species